GUAAAGCAUCGGAACGUAUCCAAUUGUGGGGGAUAGGCCAGCGAAAGCUGGGUUAAUACCGCAUACGCCCUGAGGGGGAAAGUGGGGGAUCGCAAGACCUCACGCAAAUGGAGCGGCCGAUGUCGGAUUAGCUAGUUGGUGAGGUAAAGGCUUACCAAGGCGACGAUCCGUAGCUGGUUUGAGAGAACGACCAGCCACACUGGGACUGAGACACGGCCCAGACUCCUACGGGAGGCAGCAGUGGGGAAUUUUGGACAAUGGGGGCAACCCUGAUCCAGCCAUGCCGCGUGAGUGAAGAAGGCCUUCGGGUUGUAAAGCUCUUUCGGCGGGGACAAAACGGCGACUGCGAAUAACGGUCGUUAAUGAUGGUACCCGAAGAAGAAGCACCGGCUAACUACGUGCCAGCAGCCGCGGUAAUACGUAGGUGCGAGCGUUAAUCGGAAUUACUGGGCGUAAAGCGUGCGCAGGUGGUUUCGUAAGUCAGAUGUGAAAUCCCCGGGCUUAACCUGGGAAUGGCAUUUGAGACUGCGAAGCUAGAGUACGGCAGAAGG
rnacentral:rRNA from 1 species